rnacentral:misc_RNA from 1 species
GAUGAAGAACGUAGCGAAAUGCGAUAAGUAAUGCGAAUUGCAGAAUCCGUGAGUCAUCGAAUCUUUGAACGCACAUUGCGCCCCCUGGUAUUCCGGGGGGCAUGCCUGUCCGAGCGUCAUUGCUGCCCUCAAGCACGGCUUGUGUGUUGGGCCUCCGUCCUCCUCCCGGGGGACGGGCCCGAAAGGCAGCGGCGGCACCGCGUCCGGUCCUCGAGCGUAUGGGGCUUCGUCACCCGCUCUUGUAGGCCCGGUCGGCGCUUGCCGACACAUCAAUCUUUUUUCCAGGUUGACCUCGGAUCAGGUAGGGAUACCCGCUGAACUUAAGCAUAUCAAUAAGCGGAGGA